AGUGAACGCUGGCGGUAGGCCUAACACAUGCAAGUCGAACGGCAGCACAGUAAGAGCUUGCUCUUACGGGUGGCGAGUGGCGGACGGGUGAGGAAUACAUCGGAAUCUACUUUUUCGUGGGGGAUAACGUAGGGAAACUUACGCUAAUACCGCAUACGACCUACGGGUGAAAGCAGGGGAUCUUCGGACCUUGCGCGAUUGAAUGAGCCGAUGUCGGAUUAGCUAGUUGGCGGGGUAAAGGCCCACCAAGGCGACGAUCCGUAGCUGGUCUGAGAGGAUGAUAGACCCCACAGGACCUGGGACACGGUCCAGACUCCUAAGGGAGGCAGCGGUGGGGAAUAUUGGCCAAGGGGGGCAAGCCUGACCCAGCCAUCCCGGGUGGGUGAAGAAGCCCUUCGGGUUGAAAAGCCCUUUUGUUGGGAAAGAAAAGCAGCAGGUUAAAACCCCGCUUUUCUGACGGUACCCAAAAAAAAAGCCCCGGCAAACUUCGG
rnacentral:rRNA from 1 species